GUGGAGUAUCAUUUCUAGGUCUAUCACUGAGCAGCAUCUGAAUCUUUAAGCUUCUAUACUAAAGAUACCUGACUUGAGUUAGAAAGCUACCAAAUUGUUGAAACAUAAGAAUACAAGCAGCAAAGAAGAGAAGCAGCCAAUAUGUAGAAUACACACAGGUGUAAGGCACUAAGCUAAGAAUUUUGGCUUGUUAUCUCAUAUUUAUGUUCACGAAAAUCGUAUGAAGGAGAUCACAAUAUUUCUAUUGAAUAUCUAAAUAAUCUAAGGCUUCUAGAGAUAAAAGAUGGAGCCUACUUUCUCAUAUCUUCAAUAUGGGCUGGCCUUGUGAUAUACUCAGCAUGUGAGAAUCCUAAGCCCAACCCUCAAGAGAUCUCAAAGCUUCCUUUCUUGUUGCUCUUGAACUCCUUUGUUCACUAUGUGAACAAACCAAAGCAAGCCUACUAAAGAUGAUAUGGAGACAGGACCCAACGAUGCCAGCCAUUACAUCAUAGACCAUCCUGCCCCAAAAAACCCACCAGAUGAUCACAGACGCUAGGAUCUAGCUGGUAUCAGCUAAGCCUGGCCCAAAUCUGAAGAACUGCCCUCCUCAUCUCCGUCCAGAUUGUUAACCCACAAAAUUCUAUGCUAAAUAAAUGGCUGUCAUUUCCCAUUA
rnacentral:lncRNA from 1 species